rnacentral:rRNA from 1 species
AGAGUUUGAUCCUGGCUCAGGAUGAACGCUGGCGGCGUGCUUAACACAUGCAAGUCGAACGAGCCUUCGGGCUAGUGGCGGACGGGUGAGUAACGCGUGAGAAUCUGCCCUCAGGAGGGGGAUAACGGCUGGAAACGGCCGCUAAUACCCCAUAUGCCGCGAGGUGAAAUGAGAAAUCGCCUGAGGAUGAGCUCGCGUCUGAUUAGCUAGUUGGUGGGGUAAGAGCCUACCAAGGCAUCGAUCAGUAGCUGGUCUGAGAGGAUGAUCAGCCACACUGGGACUGAGACACGGCCCAGACUCCUACGGGAGGCAGCAGUGGGGAAUUUUCCGCAAUGGGCGCAAGCCUGACGGAGCAACGCCGCGUGAGGGAUGAAGGCCUCUGGGCUGUAAACCUCUUUUCUCAAGGAAGAAGAACUGACGGUACUUGAGGAAUAAGCCACGGCUAAUUCCGUGCCAGCAGCCGCGGUAAUACGGGAGUGGCAAGCGUUAUCCGGAAUUAUUGGGCGUAAAGCGUCCGCAGGCGGUCUUGAAAGUCUGUUGUUAAAGCGUGGAGCUCAACUCCAUUUCAGCAAUGGAAACUAGAAGACUAGAGUGUGGUAGGGGCAGAGGGAAUUCCCGGUGUAGCGGUGAAAUGCGUAGAUAUCGGGAAGAACACCAGUGGCGAAGGCGCUCUGCUGGGCCAUAACUGACGCUCAUGGACGAAAGCCAGGGGAGCGAAAGGGAUUAGAUACCCCUGUAGUCCUGGCCGUAAACGAUGAACACUAGGUGUCGGGGGAAUCGACCCCCUCGGUGUCGUAGCCAACGCGUUAAGUGUUCCGCCUGGGGAGUACGCACGCAAGUGUGAAACUCAAAGGAAUUGACGGGGGCCCGCACAAGCGGUGGAGUAUGUGGUUUAAUUCGAUGCAACGCGAAGAACCUUACCAGGGUUUGACAUCCUGCGAAUCUUUUGGAAACAGAAGAGUGCCUUCGGGAGCGCAGAGACAGGUGGUGCAUGGCUGUCGUCAGCUCGUGUCGUGAGAUGUUGGGUUAAGUCCCGCAACGAGCGCAACCCACGUCUUUAGUUGCCAGCAUUAAGUUGGGCACUCUAGAGAGACCGCCGGUGAUAAACCGGAGGAAGGUGUGGAUGACGUCAAGUCAUCAUGCCCCUUACAUCCUGGGCUACACACGUACUACAAUGCUACGGACAGAGGGCAGCAAACUCGCGAGAGCUAGCAAAUCCCAUAAACCGUGGCUCAGUUCAGAUCGUAGGCUGCAACUCGCCUACGUGAAGGAGGAAUCGCUAAUCGCAGGUCAGCAUACUGCGGUGAAUACGUUCCCGGGCCUUGUACACACCGCCCGUCACACCAUGGAAGUUGGCCAUGCCCGAAGUCGUUACUCCAACCCUUGUGGAGGAGGACGCCGAAGGUGGGGCUGAUGACUGGGGUGAAGUCGAAACAAGGUA